rnacentral:rRNA from 1 species
UGACCGUACUAAGGUAGCAUAAUAAUUUGCCUUUUAAUUGGAGGCUAGUAUGAAUGGCUUGACGUGAAAUAUACUGUCUCAACUAUAUUUAGUAGAAUUUAACUUUUAGGUGAAGAGGCCUAAAUUUUGUGGGAAGACAAGAAGACCCUAUUGAGCUUUAAAUAUUUAUGUUAGUGGGAGCCUAAGAUUUAUAUGAUGGUCAUUACUUCUAAGUAUGUUGGUUGGGGUGACCGAGGAGUAUAAAGUAACCUCCUUGUAAUGUAAAGAAUUUGUUAUCAACGAACCUGUAAUAUAGGUUAUUCGGUAGUUACCAUAGGGAUAACAGCGUAAUUCUUUUGAAGAGUUCAUAUCGAAGAAAGAGAUUGCGACCUCGAUGUUGGAUUAAGGUGUCCUAAGGG